rnacentral:rRNA from 1 species
AUUGAACGCUGGCGGCAUGCCUUACACAUGCAAGUCGAACGGCAGCGCGGGAGCAAUCCUGGCGGCGAGUGGCGAACGGGUGAGUAAUACAUCGGAACGUGCCCAAUCGUGGGGGAUAACGCAGCGAAAGCUGUGCUAAUACCGCAUACGAUCUACGGAUGAAAGCAGGGGAUCGCAAGACCUUGCGCGAAUGGAGCGGCCGAUGGCAGAUUAGGUAGUUGGUGAGGUAAAGGCUCACCAAGCCUUCGAUCUGUAGCUGGUCUGAGAGGACGACCAGCCACACUGGGACUGAGACACGGCCCAGACUCCUACGGGAGGCUGCAGUGGGGAAUUUUGGACAAUGGGCGAAAGCCUGAUCCAGCCAUGCCGCGUGCAGGAUGAAGGCCUUCGGGUUGUAAACUGCUUUUGUACGGAACGAAACGGUCUUUUCUAAUAAAGAAGGCUAAUGACGGUACCGUAAGAAUAAGCACCGGCUAACUACGUG